rnacentral:rRNA from 1 species
GUGGGGAAUCUUAGACAAUGGGCGCAAGCCUGAUCUAGCCAUGCCGCGUGAGCGAUGAAGGCCUUAGGGUUGUAAAGCUCUUUCGUGGGGGAAGAUAAUGACUGUACCCCAAGAAGAAGCCCCGGCUAACUCCGUACCAGCAGCCGCGGUAAUACGGAGGGGGCUAGCGUUGUUCGGAAUUACUGGGCGUAAAGCGCACGUAGGCGGACCAGAAAGUCAGAGGUGAAAGCCCGGGGCUCAACCCCGGCACUGCCUUUGAAACUCCUGGUCUUGAGGUCUAGAGAGGUGGGUGGAAUUCCGAGUGUAGAGGUGAAAUUCGUAGAUAUUCGGAGGAACACCAGUGGCGAAUGCGGCCCACUGGCUCUAGACUGACGCUGAGGUGCGAAAGCGUGGGGAGCAAACAGGAUUAGAAACCCGAGUAGUCC